UGGGGAAUUUUGGACAAUGGGCGAAAGCCUGAUCCAGCAAUGCCGCGUGUGUGAAGAAGGCCUUCGGGUUGUAAAGCACUUUUGUCCGGAAAGAAAUCCUUGGCUCUAAUACAGUCGGGGGAUGACGGUACCGGAAGAAUAAGCACCGGCUAACUACGUGCCAGCAGCCGCGGUAAUACGUAGGGUGCAAGCGUUAACGGAAUUACUGGGCGUAAAGCGUGCGCAGGCGGUUUGCUAAGACCGAUGUGAAAUCCCCGGGCUCAACCUGGGAACUGCAUUGGUGACUGGCAGGCUAGAGUAUGGCAGAGGGGGGUAGAAUUCCACGUGUAGCAGUGAAAUGCGUAGAGAUGUGGAGGAAUACCGAUGGCGAAGGCAGCCCCCUGGGCCAAUACUGACGCUCAUGCACGAAAGCGUGGGGAGCAAACAGGAUUAGAUACCCUGGUAGUCCACGCCCUAAACGAUGUCAACUAGUUGUUGGGGAUUCAUUUCCUUAGUAACGUAGCUAACGCGUGAAGUUGACCGCCU
rnacentral:rRNA from 1 species